GGAAAAGUGAAUCUAGUUGAUACAUGUCAUGGACGCCAGCCUCAGCAAAGAGCAGAACAGAGAAGGUUGAAGAAUGAGUUCUAUUUGCAGGGUCCUAGGCAAUGAACCUAAGAGGAUGGAAGAAAAAGUUUUUUCCUCCCUGUCAGUGAUAUAGCCACAGUGCAUGAAAAUAUAGGUCACACAGCUGAUUUUACUGAUCUCCCUUCGUGGAUUUGUAGACCAUGCCCUCCUUUGCAGAAAGAAGAGAGUCCUCCUGCGUAUCAGGAAACAAGAACCAGACCCUCUCCCACAACCCCGGAGCACUGAGAUCACACUUGUAGAUCACACUGGCAUCACUUAGUCUGUGCAGGAUCAAGACAUGUUGCAGGCCACUGCACUCCCUUUGCUGAUUAACUUCCCAAACCCAUUUAAAAACCCCUGAUCCAGGCAGUAACCUCAGAGGAGUUGGCUUUUGGACAAGAGUCUGCCUUCUAUCCAGGUUGCUAGC